rnacentral:tRNA from 1 species
GCCUGGCUGGCUUGGUUGGUAGAACAUGCGGCUCUUAAUCUCAGGGUUGUGGGUUCAAGCCCCAUGUUGGGCA